GAGAGUUUGAUCCUGGCUCAGAACGAACGCUGGCGGCGUGCUUAACACAUGCAAGUCGAGUGCGCGGUUGUAGCAAUACAACUGGCGCACGGCGCACGGGUGCGUAACACGUGGGCAAUCUGCCCUUCGAUGGGGAAUAACUCCGGGAAACCGAAGCUAAUUCCGCAUAAUAUUCCUUGGACUUCGGUUCGAGGACUCAAAGCCGUAAGGCGUCGAAGGAGGAGCCCGCGCCCGAUUAGCUAGUUGGUGAGGUAACGGCUCACCAAGGCAAUGAUCGGUAGCUGGUCUGAGAGGAUGGCCAGCCACACUGGAACUGAGACACGGUCCAGACUCCUACGG
rnacentral:rRNA from 1 species